GAAGAAAAAAGCUAAUCAUGAAGUCUGCCUCAAGGAAGACUAAAUGAAUAAAUAAGUCUUAAGACUCAUAAAGGAAUUGGAAGGAAUUGGCUUAAACCUCGAUCUUUACUUUCACAAAACGCCCAAAGUAACCAUGAAUUGGGAAUCCUCUUUCUUUAAUCGAUUAAUGCGGGACUUGACUAAGCAGACAGAUGCAAUGCUGUUGUUGACCAUGCCCCUCCACUUGUUAGUAGAGUAACCUGAGCGCCCUCCACUUACCUUCAAUUAUAAUGACAGAGAGAGUCACCAUUAGGCGGG
rnacentral:misc_RNA from 1 species